AGCUAAUCCAUUUGAGUCACCAAUUUACCCGCAAGUGGAUAUCCGUACAUGUGGAUCCGGGUCAGGGUCCAGUGGCAUGGAGUCCAAGACGACUGGAGACCCUUUUCUGCUGCAGCCUUCAUCCGCCAUCCCAGCCGUUGUGACGCUCCAACUCCACGCUCCACCGUUGAGGUCUUGGGUUGUUAUUUCCCCAUAACUGGGCCCAUAUGGAUGCGGGGGUGCCUUCUUCCGCCAUCGCAGCCGUUGUGGUAGUUCUUACAUCUACCGUCUUCCGCCUGCUCUGCCGUUGAGGUCUUCACCGUAUCCCUGGCUAGGGGGCAGUCAGGUACUAGGCCUUUGCCAAGGGCCACCUGGGGUAACAGUAGUAAAGGGGUUAACCUCCUAGUGCCCCAAGACCCCAUAGAGGAGCCUCCACUGCCGGGUGCACUUUAAUGUCAUGCCCAGGACAAAUAUGUACAAUAUACACACUGCAAGUAUAUACCUGUGUAUAUAUAAUGUAGUAGCAGACACCUUCAUAACAAUAUGUAAUAUGUACAAUAUACACACUGCAAGUAUAUACUGUAUAUAUUGUAGUAACAUACACCUUCAUAACAAUAUGUGAUAUGUACAAUGUACACACUGCAAGUAUAUAUAUAAUGUAGUAACAGACACCUUCAUAACAAUAUGUAAUAUGUACAAUAUACACACUUCAUGUUACGGUGCGUGCGCAUACUAUCAUUCCCUCCGCUGCUGGAGCAGCAAGAAGGUUCGCUGAGAGCGCAGCCAGACACGCUCCUGCGCGCCCCGCUCAGACCGCGCUUGCACGGCUGCAGGAAAUCUGCAUUCCGCGCACCUGGAUCUGUUGAGGCUCAACAGUAUAAAGCCCAACGCAGCCGAAUACCCAGCGCCAGAACGUAGUUCUCUGUUUACAAAUCCUCUGUCGCCUUAGAAGUGAGCUGUGCGCCUCACUUCUCUGGACCUCCCUCUAGACUCUGACUGCCUCCCUCGAUCCUCGACUUCCUUCGCUUUGGACCCGGACCUCAGGACGCCUCGCUCCAGCCCCCACGGACCUCCUGCUUGGAUCACAGACCUCUUUCUGCUGAGCCCCUUUGGACUUGUUUGCCUCUCCAAACAACAUACACUUACAACAAACUCCUGGUAAUACAAUCUUGUUAAUUCACGCACAUAAUCUUGCAUGCACACACUUAGUAGCAUACACACCCCACUCACUCAUCAUGGCUCAAUAAACCCUGUUGAGCGAUA